UACGAAGGGGCUAGCGUUGUUCGGAAUUACUGGGCGUAAAGCGCACGUAGGCGGAUACUUAAGUCAGGGGUGAAAUCCCGGGGCUCAACCCCGGAACUGCCUUUGAUACUGGGUAUCUCGAGUCCGGAAGAGGUGAGUGGGAAUUCCGAGUGUAGAGGUGAAAUUCGUAGAGUAUUACGGAGGAACACCAGUGGCGAAGGCGGCUCACUGGGUCCGGUACUGACGCUGAGGUGCGAAAGCGUGGGGAGCAAGCAGGG
rnacentral:rRNA from 1 species